UCUCCUGGAAAACGGGUGGUAAUGCCGGAUGCUCCAGUUGAUCGCAUGGUCUUCUGGGAAAGCUUUCGCGGUAUGGGAUGGGGUCGCGUCCUAUCAGCUUGACGGCGGGGUAACGGCCCACCGUGGCUUCGACGGGUAGCCGGCCUGAGAGGGCGACCGGCCACAUUGGGACUGAGAUACGGCCCAGACUCCUACGGGAGGCAGCAGUGGGGAAUAUUGCACAAUGGGCGCAAGCCUGAUGCAGCGACGCCGCGUGAGGGAUGGAGGCCUUCGGGUUGUAAACCUCUUUUAUCGGGGAGCAAGCGAGAGUGAGUUUACCCGUUGAAUAAGCACCGGCUAACUACGUGCCAGCAGCCGCGGUAAUACGUAGGGUGCAAGCGUUAUCCGGAAUUAUUGGGCGUAAAGGGCUCGUAGGCGGUUCGUCGCGUCCGGUGUGAAAGUCCAUCGCUUAACGGUGGAUUCGCGCCGGGUACGGGCGGGCUUGAGUGCGGUAGGGGAGACUGGAAUUCCCGGUGUAACGGUGGAAUGUGUAGAUAUC
rnacentral:rRNA from 1 species